rnacentral:rRNA from 1 species
CGUGAGCCAGCAUGUGGGAAAUACUGCACAAUGGGAGAAGCCUGACGAAGGACGCCGCUUGGACUGACGCCUUCGGUUGUAACCUCUUUACCCACCAACGCAGGCUUGGAGUUUUUUCGGGUCGACGGUAGGUGGGGAAUAAGGACCGGCUAACUACGUGCCAGCAGCGCGGUAAUACGUAGGGUCCCAGCGUGUCUGAAUUAUUGGCGUAAAGAGCUCGUGGCGGCGUGUCGCGUCUGCUGUGAAAGACCGGGGCUUAACUCCGGUUCUGCAGUGGAUACGGGCAUGCUAGAGGUAGGUAGGGGAGACUGGAAUUCCUGGUGUAGCGGUGAAAUGCGCAGAUAUCAGGAGGAACACCGGUGGCGAAGGCGGGUCUCUGGGCCUUACCUGACGCUGAGGAGCGAAAGCAUGGGGAGCGAACAGGAUUAGACACCCUGGUAGUCCAUGCCGUAAACGUUGGGCGCUAGGUGUGGGGACUUUCCACGGUUUCCGCGCCGUAGCUAACGCAUUAAGCGCCCCGCCUGGGGAGUACGGCCGCAAGGCUAAAACUCAAAGGAAUUGACGGGGGCCCGCACAAGCGGCGGAGCAUGUUGCUUAAUUCGACGCAACGCGAAGAACCUUACCAAGGUUUGACAUCACCCGUGGACUCGCAGAGAUGUGAGGUCAUUUAGUUGGCGGGUGACAGGUGGUGCAUGGCUGUCGUCAGCUCGUGUCGUGAGAUGUUGGGUUAAGUCCCGCAACGAGCGCAACCCUUGUUCCAUGUUGCCAGCACGUAAUGGUGGGGACUCAUGGGAGACUGCCGGGGUCAACUCGGAGGAAGGUGGGGAUGACGUCAAGUCAUCAUGCCCCUUAUGUCUUGGGCUGCAAACCUGCUACAAUGGCCGGUACAAUGGGCGUGCGAUACCGUAAGGUGGAGCGAAUCCCUAAAAGCCGGUCUCAGUUCGGAUUGGGGUCUGCAACUCGACCCCAUGAAGGUGGAGUCGCUAGUAAUCGCGGAUCAGCAACGCCGCGGUGAAUACGUUCCCGGGCCUUGUACACACCGCCCGUCACGUCAUGAAAGUCGGCAACACCCGAAACUUGCGGCCUAACCCCUUGUGGGAGGGAGUGAGUGAAGGUGGGGCUGGCGAUGGGACG